AAAUCGGACCGCUACCGGCGCUAGGAUCCGGGUCGACUUAAGGUCGCCGGGACCCGUAGCAAGCCUGCUAUACUCUCUGUGUACCUGAAAAAUCCCAUACAUGAUCAAACAUAACCUGAAAACCUCAGCCAUCUCAUGAACUGGUUCAACCUGUGCAUGCACGAAUUCUGUACACAGACUCCCCUUGCCAGAGCAUUCAUCAAA
rnacentral:lncRNA from 1 species